GUGCCAGCAGCCGCGGUAAUUCCAGCUCCAAUAGCGUAUAUUAAAGUUGUUGCGGUUAAAAAGCUCGUAGUCGAACAUGGGGUUCGGCUAGACGGUCGGCCGCAAGGUCUGUACUGUUCUGAUUGAGCUCAAAAAGCUUGGGGAAUCUUAGUGCUCUUAACUGAGUGCUCUGGGGAACUGGGACUUUUACUGUGAAGAAAUUAGAGUGUUCAAAGCAAGCAUACGCUUGAAUACAUUAGCAUGGAAUAAUAAAAUAUGACUGUGGUCUUAUUUUGUUGGUUUCCAAGGCCAAAGUAAUGAUUAAAAGGAACAGUUGGGGGCAUUAGUAUUUCAUUGUCAGAGGUGAAAUUCUUGGACCAAUGAAAGACUGACUACUGCGAAAGCAUUUGCCAAGGAUGUUUUCAUUGAUCAAGAACGAAAGUUAAGGGAUCGAAGACGAUCAGAUACCGUCGUAGUCUUAACUAUAAACGAUGCCAACUAUGGCUCGGACGAGUAUAUGUAAAUGUCUCGUCCGGUACGUCGUGAGAAAUCAAAGUUUUUGGGUUCUGGGGGGAGUAUGGUCGCAAGGCUGAAACUUAAAGGGAUUGACGGAAGGGCACCACCAGGAGUGGAGCCUGCGGCUUAAUUUGACUCAACACGGGAAACCUCACCAGGUUUAGACAUGGUUAGGAUUGACAGAUUGAGAGCUCUUUCAUGAUUUUAUGGGUGGUGGUGCAUGGCCGUUCUUAGUUGGUGGAGUGAUUUGUCUGGUUAAUUCCGAUAACGAACGAGACCUUACCCUGCUAAAUAGUGGCUAGAACAUUUCGUUCUCAGCACACUUCUUAGAGGGACUAUGGAUGCAAAUCCAUGGAAGUUUGAGGCAAUAACAGGUCUGUGAUGCCCUUCGUUAUCCUGGGCCGCACGCGCGCUACACUGACGAAGAUAAAGAGUAUUCACCUUGGCCGUAAGGUCUGGGUAAUCUUGAAAACUUCGUCGUGAUGGGGACUGUCCAUUGCAAUUAUUGGACAUGAACGAGGAAUUCCUAGUAAGCGCAAGUCAUCAGCUUGCGCUGAUUACGUCCCUGCCCUUUGUACACACCGCCCGUCGCUACUACCGAUUGAACGGCUUAGUGAGACCUCCGGAUUGGGUGACAGAGAGUCUAACGACUCAAGUCCUCUGAGAAGCUGGUCAAACUUGGUCGUUUAGAGGAAGUAAAAGUCGUAACAAGGUAACCGUAGGUGAACCUGCGGUUGGAUCAUUA
rnacentral:rRNA from 1 species